UUGAAUUGGUAAGGCCCAAAACUUGGAAGAGGCCAUUUGCCCAAGCCUACAUAUCAUUUAAAUGGUGGUUGGCCCAAACAAUUUGUAUGCAUGUAGCCCAUCAAAUUCAGCACUCUCUCUGCACAAGUAAUCAAAGAUUGUACGCAUGGAAAUGUCUUCUGCUCGGCAGGGGCUCAGUCUUCUGUUUUAUCUUUUUUAUAUGUAGUUCUUUUACAUUUUUUUAAUUCUGCUGUAUAUAUAUUUUUUCUUUUUUUCUUUUUGUAUUUUAACUGUUUUGUUUUGGGUGUUAAGAAAUUAUUUUUGCAUGUCCUAAGGAUCACCCUUCUUUUGAUCCACAAAAUGGGUUUGAACUCUUUGGGCUUGAAUUUGAGCCCCUCUUUUGUACUUAAUGCGAAAUUUUAUAAUGACUGUCGUGUAUGGAUUCCUCAUAUAAAUUUUUAUAUUAGUCAUAAGAUCAUUUUAUUAAAUUUAAGUGAAGUUAUUAUUCAGAUGAAUUAUGUGACUAAUAUAAAGAUCCAUAUUUAUAGUCCAUAUAUAAG
rnacentral:lncRNA from 1 species